rnacentral:rRNA from 1 species
AGUGAACGCUGGCGGUAGGCCUAACACAUGCAAGUCGAACGGCAGCACAGUAAGAGCUUGCUCUUACGGGUGGCGAGUGGCGGACGGGUGAGGAAUACAUAGGAAUCUAAUUUUUCGUGGGGGAUAACGUAGGGAAACUUAUGCUAAUACCGCAUACGACCUACGGGUGAAAGCAGGGGAUCUUCGGACCUUGCGCGAUUGAAUGAGCCGAUGUCGGAUUAGCUAGUUGGCGGGGUAAAGGCCCACCAAGGCGACGAUCCGUAGCUGGUCUGAGAGGAUGAUCAGCCACACUGGAACUGAGACACGGUCCAGACUCCUACGGGAGGCAGCAGUGGGGAAUAUUGGACAAUGGGCGCAAGCCUGAUCCAGCCAUACCGCGUGGGUGAAGAAGGCCUUCGGAUUGUAAAGCCCUUUUGUUAGGAAAGAAAAGCUGCAGGUUUAUACCCCGCUGUUCUGACGGUACCCAAAGAGUAAGCACCGGCUAACUUCGUG